AGAGUUUGAUCAUGGCUCAGAUUGAACGCUGGCGGCAGGCCUAACACAUGCAAGUCGAACGGUAACAGGAAGCAGCUUGCUGCUUCGCUGACGAGUGGCGGACGGGUGAGUAAUGUCUGGGAAACUGCCUGAUGGAGGGGGAUAACUACUGGAAACGGUAGCUAAUACCGCAUAAUGUCGCAAGACCAAAGAGGGGGACCUUCGGGCCUCUUGCCAUCGGAUGUGCCCAGAUGGGAUUAGCUUGUUGGUGGGGUAACGGCUCACCAAGGCGACGAUCCCUAGCUGGUCUGAGAGGAUGACCAGCCACACUGGAACUGAGACACGGUCCAGACUCCUACGGGAGGCAGCAGUGGGGAAUAUUGCACAAUGGGCGCAAGCCUGAUGCAGCCAUGCCGCGUGUAUGAAGAAGGCCUUCGGGUUGUAAAGUACUUUCAGCGGGGAGGAAGGGAGUAAAGUUAAUACCUUUGCUCAUUGACGUUAUCCGCAGAAGAAGCACCGGCUAACUCCGUGCCAGCAGCCGCGGUAAUACGGAGGGUGCAAGCGUUAAUCGGAAUUACUGGGCGUAAAGCGCACGCAGGCGGUUUGUUAAGUCAGAUGUGAAAUCCCCGGGCUCAACCUGGGAACUGCAUCUGAUACUGGCAAGCUUGAGUCUCGUAGAGGGGGGUAGAAUUCCAGGUGUAGCGGUGAAAUGCGUAGAGAUCUGGAGGAAUACCGGUGGCGAAGGCGGCCCCCUGGACGAAGACUGACGCUCAGGUGCGAAAGCGUGGGGAGCAAACAGGAUUAGAUACCCUGGUAGUCCACGCCGUAAACGAUGUCGACUUGGAGGUUGUGCCCUUGAGGCGUGGCUUCCGGAGCUAACGCGUUAAGUCGACCGCCUGGGGAGUACGGCCGCAAGGUUAAAACUCAAAUGAAUUGACGGGGGCCCGCACAAGCGGUGGAGCAUGUGGUUUAAUUCGAUGCAACGCGAAGAACCUUACCUGGUCUUGACAUCCACGGAAGUUUUCAGAGAUGAGAAUGUGCCUUCGGGAACCGUGAGACAGGUGCUGCAUGGCUGUCGUCAGCUCGUGUUGUGAAAUGUUGGGUUAAGUCCCGCAACGAGCGCAACCCUUAUCCUUUGUUGCCAGCGGUCCGGCCGGGAACUCAAAGGAGACUGCCAGUGAUAAACUGGAGGAAGGUGGGGAUGACGUCAAGUCAUCAUGGCCCUUACGACCAGGGCUACACACGUGCUACAAUGGCGCAUACAAAGAGAAGCGACCUCGCGAGAGCAAGCGGACCUCAUAAAGUGCGUCGUAGUCCGGAUUGGAGUCUGCAACUCGACUCCAUGAAGUCGGAAUCGCUAGUAAUCGUGGAUCAGAAUGCCACGGUGAAUACGUUCCCGGGCCUUGUACACACCGCCCGUCACACCAUGGGAGUGGGUUGCAAAAGAAGUAGGUAGCUUAACCUUUGGGAGGGCGCUUACCACUUUGUGAUUCAUGACUGGGGUGAAGUCGUAACAAGGUAACCGUAGGGGAACCUGCGGUUG
rnacentral:rRNA from 1 species